AGGACGAACGCUGGCGGCGUGCUUAACACAUGCAAGUCGAGCGGAAAGGCCCUUCGGGGUACUCGAGCGGCGAACGGGUGAGUAACACGUGAGCAACCUGCCCCUGGCUCUGGGAUAGCCUUCGGAAACGGGGAUUAAUACCGGAUAUUCACUGCUUCCUGCAUGGGGGGUGGUGGAAAGUUUUUCGGCUGGGGUGGGCUCGCGGCCUAUCAGCUUGUUGGGGGGUGACGGCCCACCAAGGCGACGACGGGUAGCCGGCCUGAGAGGGCGACCGGCCACACUGGGACUGAGACACGGCCCAGACUCCUACGGGAGGCAGCAGUGGGGAAUAUGCGCAAUGGGCGGAAGCCUGACGCAGCGACGCCGCGUGCGGGAUGAAGGCCUUCGGGUUGUAACCGCUUCACCAGGGACGAAGCGAGAGUGACGGUACCUGGGAAGAAGCGCCGGCUAACUACGUGCCAGCAGCCGC
rnacentral:rRNA from 1 species